GACGAACGCUGGCGGCGUGCUUAACACAUGCAAGUCGUACGGUAAGGCCCUUUCGGGGGUCCACGAGUGGCGGACGGGUGAGUAACACGUGAGUAACCUGCCCACAACUUUGGGAUAACGCUAGGAAACUGGUGCUACUAAUGGCUAUGUGCCACUGCCGCAUGGCGGGGGUUGGUAAGCUCCGGCGGUUGUGGAUGGACUCGCGGCCUAUCAGCUUGUUGGUGGGGUAGUGGCCUACCAAGGCGGCGACGGGUAGCCGGCCUGAGAGGGUGACCGGCCACAUUGGGACUGAGAUACGGCCCAGACUCCUACGGGAGGCAGCAGGGGGGAAUAUUGCACAAUGGGCGCCAGCCUGAGGCAACAACGCCGCGUGCGGGAGGACGGGCUUCGGGUUGUAAGCCGCUUUCAGCAGGGACGAAGCUUUGUGUGACGGUACCUGCAGAAGAAGCACCGGCUAGCUACGGG
rnacentral:rRNA from 1 species